ACUGCUCCAUUAGGUGGGAGCUUGUGUUUAUUGUAGAAGGGUAACUAUGCUUAUACAACUCAACAUUAAACACAUACAUUAAUGCAAACCAUACAUAGUAUAUCAACGGCAUAAAUGUCUUUCAACCUGCGUCAGGCAAUUAAGUAGAAAACUGUUUUUACCAAUAGUUCCCAAAAUUCUUACUUACUGUUGGAUUCCGUCCUUGGAGAUUCACACUAACACACACAUCCACACUUUCCUGAAUAAUUGUCCGUGACUAAUCCUCCUCCAAUAAUUCACAUUUUACAAAUCUCUGAGCCACAGGUACUGUCUCGGCAGUCACCUGGCUGGCGUCCGCGAAUAAUCCUUCUCGAAUAAUCUGGAAUAACUCACACUUUCCAGGUCUCUCAGCCGCAGGUAUCUCGCCAGACACCUGGCUGACGUCCACGAAUAAUACUUCUCGCAAGGAAUUAAACUGAUUCAUCACUCUCUUCUUCUCAAAUGACGUUAGACACUCUCAGUCGAUGACUCUUGAGACAAUAAUGAUCUCGAUACUUUUCCCAUAAAAACUCGGCUUUGGUGAACGUUUAUUUUUUUCUUGAAAUCUUAACUUCCACACAUUCUAUCUAAUGCACGUGUAAGGGCGAUAAUGCCUGCCUAACAACAGACAGAGGCAACAACAACCUCCCCCCCCCCCAAGCUUCUAACAUGCACCCUACUAGUCCUUUAACUUCUGUUAAACCUUUAUCCUUUAAUAACCGCCACGUCGACAACAGAAGCUAAUUGAGCUUCGUAUUGACAUCACGUGACGAGCGACGUCGUUUCUAACAGUUGUCUUCCCCACACUACAGACAGUGACAACCUAACGACGACGUCUGUCGAGGUUAACAUCGCGUUACUGGCUUUAAACGCAAGUAGACAAAAGCACAGUUAGCUCAUUAACAAAAUCGGUCUACCAAUCACGAUGACUAAACAAACACGGUUGUACCACAUUGUCUUCUGCCUGCUGCUUUUCAUAACACUGGAAGCCAGACAUCACAAUGACGUUCUGCGUCAAACUGAAAUAUGCGUCAAAAACGGCAGAUCGUGUGAAGACUUACCUUGUUGCUCUAGAUAUGAUGAAUGCAUCCAAAGAAUUGGACAUCGUGUCUGCAGGCGACGUAAGGUUCAUUGACAGAGAAGGUAGAUGGACGGACCUUCUCAGAAUACAAACGGACUAAUGUCACCUGCUACCAAUGAGUAUUGGAUGCUGGAUGUACCCAAUAGUAACAACAACAGGGUGCGUCUGCCUACUGUCCGAUUCUGGGAUGUUAACGAAUCAAAUAACAUUAUCGCACAAGUGUAAGAUCUCCGAGUUCAAAGGUGUAUUGUACAUUCAUGCAUUCAGAGGUUUUGACUGUAUUUAUCGAGUGUUCUGUCCGUCCAAGAAAUUCAAUAAAAAAAAAUAUCUGGUCUUCUUUAACUUUUGUCACUAAUGUCUAUGUGCCUGACAAAUUACAAAAUUACUCAGGACUCGAAAGCACAUUGUAGAACAAAAAAAUCUCAAAAUAUACUUGAGUGGCGGGCUCUAUGACAAACCUCCCUUAGACAUAGAAAACGACUGCACGGUCUCAUUAGCCAGUCAGCGACUGCCGCCAUCUCAACCAGACCCACCCGUCACUCUUAUUGCCUGAGCCCCAGCGAAACGUUUAAGCUAACUGAUGAAGGUUAAAGAUAGUUUAUUAAAAUAUUGAAGGCGAAAACUUAACUUUGAAUUAUAGCGUGCAAUAUACUCGCCUAGUUGAAUUCUAGACCAUCUGACAUGCAGUUUAGGUGGAAAAAAAAUUAAAAGUAUCCAAAGGUAAACCUAUCGAGAUUUCGCUAAAAGCGUCCACUGAAUGCCUAAAUGCCAACUGGAGGAACAUUUUUGACGAGUGCUACAGGAAGACACACUGGAAAUCUAGAACAAAUCCUUUACAAUGCUUCACUGGGCGACAUUUUAAAUAUUGCAACAUGGCCUCAUCACCCGUUCCCCUACGUCACGAUCAGGUGACACUACCCAGGCACAGACCGUAGGGGGGACCCUGGCUGUCCUCUUAUCUGCUGUGGCUGUUGAGGUCAGUAAGUAAUGGCAUCCACUAGGGGCUUGAGGUGAUGGAAAGUAACCUGCUUAAUGGCUAGUGGCUUUUCUACAACCUCUUGUAGACCGCUAAGGACAAAAUAUUAUUGAGACCUUCAGCUUUUGUAGUCGCGACACAUUCCUCCCGUCACCACAUAACAUCGGGAACCGGGGAAACGGGGGGGGAGGGAAUCUUUUAGUUUUUACAAAGGGGAAAAAGAUAUUUAGGUGUCCUUAGUGCGUCGAAUGCACUCAGGACACAGAAUCUCCAUACUGAGGACAAACGUUCUGGUGUGAAGGGGUGGUGACGUGCUUCUAGACAAAUUCAGCCAAAAGAUGGGAGAACAAAGCCACGUGGACCACCUGCAGUGCCGUAAGCACGUAUUUGGCUGGCAAAUGAUCCUCAUUACACAACGAAAUUCCGCUGCUCCCUCAGGUCCCAACAUUCACUCACACACACACUCUGAGUCUGGAAGAAACCGCACCGUCUAUAAAUUUACAAGCAACACUUAAGUUGAGUGUUUAUCCAACAGCGACAGUUUUAACUUCAUGUCUAGAAAAGUACUCCGUGUAGAAUUGUAGACUGCCCGUGAUUGUGGUAUUCCUUUGCCUUACAUUUCUUGUAAAAUAAGCAAGCAGCAUGCAGACAAGUAUAUACAUCUAUAUUGCAAGAAUCAAAGAAAUGUUUCUCCCAAAACAUUGGCAGGUUAACGGGAAUUCACCAAUAUAAAUCUUAAUGGCGUUGUCUAAUUACUAAAAUGCUUGUAAUCUUAAAACUGUAAAAUGCUAGAUGGAAAAAUGACAAUUAUUUUUCCAAAUAAAUUCCAUCAGCAAUGUUUCUUUUCAAAUUAACACAAUGGGUUUGUCAUUGCAGCUGUAGAUGCUAGGGGUUUGAAUGAAUGAAUAAUAAACCAAACUAUUAAAUAUCUUUACAAAGAAAGGUGAAGGCAACAGAAACCACAAGCCAUUAAUACAGUCUAUUGCACCGCAUAAGUGAAAAGGGAGGUAACAGACAUUAAAGAGAC